rnacentral:rRNA from 1 species
GACGAACGCUGGCGGCGUGCCUAAUACAUGCAAGUCGAACGAGAAAUUCUUACACCGGAUGCUUGCAUCCACCGUAAGAUUUCGAGUGGCGGACGGGUGAGUAACACGUGGGUAACCUGCCCAAAAGAAGGGGAUAACAUUUGGAAACAAGUGCUAAUACCGUAUAACCAUGAUGACCGCAUGGUCAUGAUGUAAAAGGUGGUUUUGCUAUCGCUUUUGGAUGGACCCGCGGCGUAUUAACUAGUUGGUAAGGUAACGGCUUACCAAGGUGAUGAUACGUAGCCGAACUGAGAGGUUGAGCGGCCACAAUGGGACUGAGACACGGCCCAUACUCCUACGGGAGGCAGCAGUAGGGAAUCUUCCACAAUGGGCGCAAGCCUGAUGGAGCAACGCCGCGUGAAUGAAGAAGGUCUUCGGAUCGUAAAGCUCUGUUGUUAGAGAAGAACAAGUGUGAAAGUAACUAGUCACACCGUGACGGUAUCUAACCAGAAAGCCACGGCUAACUACGUGCCAGCAGCCGCAGUAAAAC